AUUGAACGCUGGCGGCAUGCUUUACACAUGCAAGUCGAACGGUAACAGGCCGCAAGGUGCUGACGAGUGGCGAACGGGUGAGUAAUGCAUCGGAACGUGCCCAGUCGUGGGGGAUAACUACUCGAAAGAGUAGCUAAUACCGCAUACGAUCUAUGGAUGAAAGCGGGGGACCGUAAGGCCUCGCGCGAUUGGAGCGGCCGAUGUCAGAUUAGGUAGUUGGUGGGGUAAAGGCUCACCAAGCCAACGAUCUGUAGCUGGUCUGAGAGGACGACCAGCCACACUGGGACUGAGCCACGGCCCAGACUCCUACGGGAGGCAGCAGGGGGGAAUUUGGGACAAUGGGCGAAAGCCUGAUCCAGCAAUGCCGCGGGCAGGAAGAAGGCCUUCGGGUUGUAAACUGCUUUUGUACGGAACGAAACGGCUCUGGUUAAUACCCGGGGCUAAUGACGGUACCGUAAGAAUAAGCACCGGCGAACUAC
rnacentral:rRNA from 1 species